UAAUUCUGAGGCUAAUGCGUGCAGGCAACAAGACAGUUCCAAAACAUGCACAUAAUAAGUUGAAAUAUCACCAAUUUAUUGGGUUGAUGUGCAACACAAUUAUGUAAGCUGUUGCUUGUCACAAAAGCGAUUAUAUUCUUACCUAUCAGCUUGCGAUGAUACGCUAGUGACGUAUUAUGGCUGUUACGGGUGGCGAAGAAUUAGGGUUUGAUCUCGGAGAGGACGCUUGAGAAAUAGCGGCUACAUCUAAGGAAGGCAGCAGGCGCGCAAAUUACCCAAUCUUGACACAAGGAGGUAGUGACAAGAAAUAACUGUGUGUGGCUCUAUGCUGCACAUCCGGAAUGUGCGACAGGUUAAGCGUGUUGCGAGUAGCUAUUGGAGGGCAAGUCUGGUGCCAGCAGCCGCGGUAAUUCCAGCUCCAAGAGUGUAUAUUAAAGU
rnacentral:rRNA from 1 species